rnacentral:rRNA from 1 species
GACGAACGCUGGCGGCGUGCUUAACACAUGCAAGUCGAACGGAAAGGCCCUGCUUUUGUGGGGUGCUCGAGUGGAGAAAGGGUGAGUAACACGUGAGUAACCUGCCCUUGACUUUGGGAUAACUUCAGGAAACUGGGGCUAAUACCGGAUAGGAGCUCCUGCUGAAUGGUGGGGGUUGGAAAGUUUCGGCGGUUGGGGAUGGACUCGCGGCUUAGCAGCUUGUUGGUGGGGUAUUGGCUUACCAAGGCUUUGACGGGUAGCCGGCCUGAGAGGGUGACCGGCCACAUUGGGGCUGAGAUACGGCCCAGACUCCUACGGGGGGCAGCGGUGUGGAAUAUUGCACAAUAGGCGGAAGCCUGAUGCAGCAACGCCGCGUGCGGGAUAACGGCCUUCGGGUUUUAAACCGCUUUCGCCUGUGACGAAGCGUGAGUGACGGUAAUGGGUAAAGAAGCACCGGCUAACUACGUG